CCUUGGUCUAGCUCUUAUCGUGUGGAUAUGGCCUCUUCCCUCUAACAUAGUUAAUCACGUCUUCAUUCUAUUGGAAAGCAGAAACUAACUUAUCAAAUCCCUGGACACCAGUACCAGCUAGCUCACAGAGAUCAUUGUACCUAUCUUUGAAAUUGUUGUAGAAGUUGAGAUCCAUUAUCCUAUCAGCAGCAUCAUAAGCAUCCGGG
rnacentral:lncRNA from 1 species